AUUAAGUAACGCUAUACCACGAA
rnacentral:snRNA from 1 species